CCUUUUCUUAUUUGAUUUACUAACUAAGGUUGCCAAAGGGCAAACACAAUAUGUUGAUAUACGUAAAGAAUAUUUAACAAUGAUUCAUGUUAUAUGAAUAAAUAUUUAUAAUUUCUCUUAGAGCUAAAAAAUAUUUAAUCGAUGUAAAGUGUGUUUGAGAUUUGUACAUUAUAUAACAAUUAAAUUAUAUUGUAUUAGUUAUAUACAAAUCCGAAAAAUAUGGCUAAAAUUCUCAAAAAAAAUUAUACCGUAAUCAUCUUUCUUUUUAUAUUUCUUAUUGUGGUGGACAUUGACGAAAAGCCAACCGUUAAAGCUUUCUUAAAGAUAUGUGAACAUGAUUCCGACUGUCUAAGAAGUAUGUGCAAUUAUCCAAAAAUUGUGAGAUGUAUUAACAAAAGUUGUGAAUGCGUUCGUAUGAUGUCACUUUUUCUAUGAGUAUUUCUAAGAGGUCAUUUGGUUGAGAAUUCGUUCUUCAACUUAGAGGUUUUCGGUUCGAGACACGACACCGAGAAAGAGACGAAGAGACAAAGAAUGGGUUCUGGUACUAGUAAUCUCUUCCACUAUACUAUUACUCCAUGAGCUAUCAUUAAUUUAUUAUGCUGGGACUUAAUAAUUUCAUUUAUUUUUUCAUUUUCUAAUUUUAUUGAGUUUGUAGUUUUGAAUAUAGGCUAUUAUAUAGGGUAAAGAAAUUAAAUAAGAGAAAGAGAACAAAUUAUUCAGAUCUUUCUUAUUCUCUAUAAACUUUGGGGGUAUUAUCAUGACCUCCAAUUUUUUAUUCACUUUACAUAUCCUUUCCAGCACCACCUAUAAGACUAUACUGUAUUUGAUAGUUGAGUUAAAUAAAAAUUGUUACUUGUAGCCUAUAAUUUUAUAAUUAUAUCAUAACAUUGUUAUAGUA